rnacentral:rRNA from 1 species
UACGGAGGGUGCAAGCGUUAUCCGGAUUCACUGGGUUUAAAGGGUGCGUAGGUGGGCAGGUAAGUCAGUGGUGAAAUCUCCGGGCUUAACCCGGAAACUGCCAUUGAUACUAUUUUUCUUGAAUACUGUGGAGGUCAGCGGAAUAUGUCAUGUAGCGGUGAAAUGCUUAGAUAUGACAUAGAACACCAAUGGCGAAGGCAGCUGGCUACACAAAUAUUGACACUGAGGCACGAAAGCGUGGGGAUCAAACAGG